GACAUACUCAAAUGUACCGUUAUGCCUGGAUUUCAGGGUUCAUUUCAGGUCUCUGUCAUAUUGUUUCCUGUCAUAAGGGGGCAGUACAGUAUGUCAGUGUGGUGUGGUGUGUAGUGUCAGUUCAAGAGGAGGACAAUGCAUUAUCACACCACCCAGACUAAAACAAGUUGGAUUUCCUGAUGGGAGGGUUUACCCAGCAAUAUUCAGUAGAACUACAGUGAUGAAAACACAGUACGCAUAACAAGGUUCUAAAAUUCAGUCUUUAAACACAACAAGAUGAUCAUAGUCUUCUGCAUAGCCCUCAAUGUCAUACUGGUUUCAGGUUCAUCUCUCAGUGACAAAGUCCACCAGACUCCAGCUCAUGUGUUCAACGAACCCAAAGAAACAGCCAAAAUCCACUGCUCACACAGUAUUGACAGCUACAACCGAAUCCUCUGGUACAAGCAAUCGAACAGACAACUGCAGUUCCUGGGAUACAUGGUAGCAACCAGUGAAGGAAACCCAGAGGCUGGACUGGGUGUGAAGAUAGAAGGGGGUGCAAAUAAAGACCAAAACUGCACAUUAACAAUUGAAGAACUCAGCCUGAACAGCAGUGUAGUGUACUUCUGUGCUGCUAGUUUACACAGUGCUGCAUAUCACUGCUCCUCAGUACAAAAACCUCCCUCACAGCUGUGUUCCUUCCUCAGUAUAUCAUUACUCAGAUCUGUAUACUGAGCCAGUGGUGUGUAAAAGCUAGUUACCAUGAGUUAUAUGCACAAUGACACCACCCACCUAACAA